rnacentral:lncRNA from 1 species
ACAUGGAGUACAUAAUCACGUGAUCGACCAGGCUAUCAGAUGUUGCUACACAUCGGUGGUCACAAUGCGCUUCACAUUGUUUUAGCCUUCAAAUGAUGCCACCCCGCUGGCUAAGCGAGCAGGGAUCGUCACUACCCCCCUGCCGGAGCCUCGUGCAGCAUUAGGUGUUUUCGCUCAAUAAACACUCACAACGCCUGGUCUGGGAAUCGAAACCACGAUGCUAUGACCGCGAGUCCGCUGCCCUAGCCACUGGGCCAUUGCACCUCCACGGAGUACAUCAUACCUAGGUAAAAUAUGGAAUGGCCAUAAAUGGAAUAGUGGAAGUGCAUGGCUUAGUGGUUAGGGUGUUGGAUUUAUCUCGUAAGAUUAUGGUUUUGAUUCAUGGACCAGGCAUUGUUGCAGCCCACUCAUCUGGUAAGAAUGCAUUAUUCUGUGACAGACUUGUAUUCUGUCCCAGGGUGAAUAUAAAUACACCAGGAAAACUUGGAAACCAACCCUAUACUUGUUAUGGGGUAAUGUGGACUGACCAUGGCUGGAAUGCUUUAGAUCACUAGUCUACUUCUUCAGGGCUGACAUAAGGUCAAACAACAGCAAAAUCUGGUGCUGCUACUCAAAUCAGCAACGUUUCUUAACAUUUUAGUUGUUCGUUAUCAACAUUAAUUUAUAUGCAGAUGUAUUUCUACAGUCAAUAAGUUUAAUUUGAUAAUAAUUAAAUUAUGUCAGUUCUGUCUUCGUUAUAUAAUCAACUAAUUUCUUUUGUCUUUUCUUUUCACAGAUCAAGAUGUUUUUUUUUUUUCUAAAUUUAUUUUUGGUCCCACGAACUUGGUCUUUUAGUACCAUUGCUACUCUACCACCGCCAUAUGGGGGGGAAAAAUUUCUUUCCAUAUACUACAUCCUCUUUUGAGGAAAUUCUAACAAACACACACACACACACAUACAAUAUAUAUGUAAAAAAAAUUUUCUUUCUCUUUUUUUAUAUUCUUGUACUAAAAAUAAAAAUAUUGAAAUGAAUUUUUUUUAAAAAUUUUAAUUAUUAUAUUGAUUAUAAAAGCAAUCAUGAAAAACAUGUAAUAAACACACAUACAAAAAAAUAAAUAAAAACGGAAAGAUAUUCUUUCAAGAAGUUCAAACAAUGAAAAUAAAUCAUUAAAAUUAGAUGAAUUAU